rnacentral:rRNA from 1 species
GACGUAGGGCGCGAGCGUUGUCCGGAUUUAUUUGGGCGUAAAGAGCUCGUAGGCGGCUUGUUGCGUCAGCUGUGAAAACCCGCAGCUCAACUGUGGGCUUUGCAGCUGAUACGGGCAGGCUUUGAGUUUCGGUAGGGGAGACUGGAAUUUCCUGGUGUAGCGGUGAAAUGCGCAGAUAUCAGGAGGAACACCGGUGGCGAAGGCGGGUCUCUGGGCCAUUACUGACGCUGAGGAGCGAAAGCGUGGGGAGCGAACAGG